GCUCAGGAUGAACGCCGGCGGUGUGCCUAAUACAUGCAAGUCGAACGCGUUGGCCCAAUUGAUUGAUGGUGCUUGCACCUGAUUGAUUUUGGUCGCCAACGAGUGGCGGACGGGUGAGUAACACGUAGGUAACCUGCCCAGAAGCGGGGGACAACAUUUGGAAACAGAUGCUAAUACCGCAUAACAACGUUGUUCGCAUGAACAACGCUUAAAAGAUGGCUUCUCGCUAUCACUUCUGGAUGGACCUGCGGUGCAUUAGCUUGUUGGUGGGGUAACGGCCUACCAAGGCGAUGAUGCAUAGCCGAGUUGAGAGACUGAUCGGCCACAAUGGGACUGAGACACGGCCCAUACUCCUACGGGAGGCAGCAGUAGGGAAUCUUCCACAAUGGGCGCAAGCCUGAUGGAGCAACACCGCGUGAGUGAAGAAGGGUUUCGGCUCGUAAAGCUCUGUUGUUAAAGAAGAACACGUAUGAGAGUAACUGUUCAUACGUUGACGGUAUUUAACCAGAAAGUCACGGCUAACUACGUGCCAGCAGCCGCGGUAAUACGUAGGUGGCAAGCGUUAUCCGGAUUUAUUGGGCGUAAAGAGAGUGCAGGCGGUUUUCUAAGUCUGAUGUGAAAGCCUUCGGCUUAACCGGAGAAGUGCAUCGGAAACUGGAUAACUUGAGUGCAGAAGAGGGUAGUGGAACUCCAUGUGUAGCGGUGGAAUGCGUAGAUAUAUGGAAGAACACCAGUGGCGAAGGCGGCUACCUGGUCUGCAACUGACGCUGAGACUCGAAAGCAUGGGUAGCGAACAGGAUUAGAUACCCUGGUAGUCCAUGCCGUAAACGAUGAGUGCUAGGUGUUGGAGGGUUUCCGCCCUUCAGUGCCGGAGCUAACGCAUAAGCACUCCGUCCGG
rnacentral:rRNA from 2 species